CGCGGAGCACGGUAACCGCGGGUGCCCCUCCCCGGCCGGCCCGGCCUUGCGUGCGGGAGCCUGAGCCCGCCCCUCCGUUGCAGGCGAAUUCCUCGGGGUCCUGUCGGCGACAGCCCGGGAGUCGGGCGCGCCCGUCGGGGACGGCUCGGCGGCGGGGCCGCUCGGCUCGGGUUCGCGCGCGGGGCUGGCGGGCGGCGUGGCGGCCGGGCUGCUGCUGCUGCUGCUGGCGCUGGCGGCGGGCCUGCUGCUGCUGCGCCGCGCUCCGAGGCUCAGGUCCGCGGGGCGGGGGCGGGGGCGGGGGCGGGGGCGGGGCCGCGUGGGGGCUCACGGGCGUCCUUGUUCCCCAGGUGGACUAAGCGCGAGCGAUUGGUCGCCACGCCCGUCGAGGCGCCCCUGGGCUUCUCCAACCCGGUGUUCGACGUGGCGGGCUCCGUGGGGCCGGUUCCACGCACCCCGCAGCCUCCCCCAGCGCAGCAGGCGGGAAGCAGCAGCACCAGCCGCAGCUACUUCGUUAACCCGCUGUUCGCCGAGGCCGAGGCCUGAGCAACCGCGGGGCUGGCCAGCCCCUACCUGCGCCCGCCGCCGCCCCCGCGAGAUGGCCCCGGCCUUGCGAGGUCCCCGCCCCCUGCCACGCACGCCUUGUCCCCCCAGCCCAAGGAUAGGGUGGCUUUGCCCAAUAAAGCGUUUCCUGCACCCGGAGUCCGUUGCCCCCAGUGGCCCUCCUGUGCCUGGGCUUGAGCGUGGGGAGCCGGCCAGUGUGCCCGUCAGGCUGCCCACUGGUGAGCGUGCUCCUCAGAAUCCUGCCCUCUGGCCACCAGCAAAGGGCAGCUCCAGGCACUACCCGAAAAUUGCAGUCUGCAGAGCUGCACCCAGAAUGUGGGGAAGGCUGCCCCUGGAGCAGGGGAGCGAGGCGGCGGGUGAGGCUGGCUGUCCAGCACCCCCAGCAGCCAGUAGAACAGCCAGUCCCUUCCCCAGAGGAACAGGA
rnacentral:lncRNA from 12 species